rnacentral:lncRNA from 1 species
UUGCCGCUACUCCGUCUCCCCGGCUGCAGUUCUACGCCUCCAUCCCUUGCCACUCCACAUCCCCCAUCCCCAAAUCGCUUUCGUCAACAGACACCCGUCGCCGCCGCCAUCGACGAGGUUACCUUCAUCGCCGCCACCACAGCACGAUGCCUCGCCAUCAUCUCCAUGCCCCCAUCAGUCGCAUCCACUGAUCAAAUAGUAGGACCUACAAACUGGUUAUACACUCAAAAACUGAGCAGGCAAGAUCGGUGAGAGCCAAACCGGAUUCAAACUCCCAAGCAAAGAAGGGCACCUCUGCAUCAGUUCCAUAGUCACACGAUACGCAACAGAUAGAGAUUUUCCCAUCAGAUGAGUAGACAAUGUUGCGAACCUCCCCAGACCAUUCUGCAAAAUGCCACCCCCCGACGCACCCUGCCAUUUUUCUGCUGGACGCUCCCUUUCCAGCUCGGUUUCUCGC